CAACCUCGGCCUCCUGGGUUCAAGCGAUUCUCCUGCCUCGGCCUCCCGAGUAGCUAGGAUUACAGGCAUGCGCCACCACAGGGCACGCUCCUACCCUUCUCUUUUCCUCUCACAGAAGUAGUUCUGGGCAAGAGGAAGCAUGAACAGCUGGUCCCAUAGGAUGACUUGAAGCAGCCACUCUCCUAGAGAGGUUAAAAGUCUGUCCCUCGCUAGGCUGCAAGCAGCCCAAGGACCAAGGCAUUUCUCAUCUGCCACAGAAUCUGCAGGACCAAGCACAGUGAUGGGCAUGUAGCUGAUGCUAAGUAAAGGUUUAUUGUUCAAUUGAAAGAGACAGCCAUUGAGGAAUCAGGGAAUCCAUUCUUUAAAAAAAUGUGUUUUUAUUCAUUAAAAAAAAAAGUCUUCCAGGCUGGACGGGGUGCCUCAUGCCUGUAAUCCCAGCACUUUGGGAGGCCGAGGCAGGCGGAUCACUUGAGGUCAGGAGUUCGAGACCAGCUUGGUCAACAUAGCAAAACCCCGUCUCUACUAAAAAUACAAAAAUGAGCUGGGUGUGGUGGCACGCACCUGUGGUCCCAGCUACUGAGGAGGCUGAGACUGGAUAAUUGCUUGGACCUGGGAGGUGGAGGUUGCAGUGAGCUGAGACCGAGCCACUGCACUCCAGCCUGGGCAACAGCGAGAGACUCCAUCUUAAAAGAAAAAAAAAAGUCUUCCACGACAGUUAUCUUAUAGAGACAAGAAGAAGAAGAAAGAAGGAGAAGAAGAGGAGGAGGUCCUAGCUAAUCUCAAGGGCAAGGACCCAAGGGCAAGGCUCUGGUCUG
rnacentral:lncRNA from 10 species